rnacentral:rRNA from 1 species
GAUUUCUGGCGAACCGUUGCGGCCCGUGCUCGUUUCGGGCGUGUGUGCCGUGUCGUGUUUGUCAUCCUUCCAGAAAGCUGCGUCUACCAUUCAUUUGGCCGGACGUACGCGAUCUGGAUCGAUUACUUUGAAAAAAUUAGAGUGUUUAAAGCAGGCUUAUGCUGUGAAUACAUUAGCAUGGAAUAAUAAUAUAGGACUUUGGUUCUAUUUUGUUGGUUUCUAGGACUGAAGUAAUGAUUGAUAGGGAUAGUUGGGGGUGCUAGUAUUCAGUGGCCAGAGGUGAAAUUCUUGGAUUCACUGAAGACUAACUACUGCGAAAGCAUU